rnacentral:tRNA from 1 species
UCCUCGAUAGCUCAGUUGGCAGAGCGAUGGACUGUAGAUGUUACAACGGUGAUCCUUAGGUCGCUGGUUCAAAUCCGGCUCGAGGGA